GAGUGCUCUUUGAGAGGUUUUGCUAUGUGAGCUAGUUAAGACUCCUCGAAAACGCGUCAUCACUCUCCUAACUCGUGGACGUUCUCCCUGUCGUCUCUGAGCCUGGAGCCCCAAAUACAUCCAGAACAGUUCGUACCCGGCCUUUUCACGUAACUCGGCCGAGAUUGUCUUUACCUGAGCUUUCCAUCAGGCCCAGAUCUUCAGAUUCUGGGGUCCCCAGUCAGCUGGGAGAGGAGUUAACUUUCUUUGCACACUCCUGACGUGUACACUCAACCCCAGUCUGAAAAUGGGUGCCCUACCGGUGUCCACGCACUCCGAGGUCGGUCUGGUUACCUUAUAACGCUUCUGCGUUUAUUCCAGACCUUCCAUCGUCUAACAUUGUUUUCGCUUGGAAAAAACCAUUGGACUCCCCUCAGUAGACUAGUCUCCUUGGAGACUUGGCGAUGCAGGGUGGCCCCUGGGCCUGACUGAAUUAGGAAAAUGGAAACUUGAGCCUUCCUUCAAAUUCUACUCCCAACUUGAGCUAUUAGUGAGUGGUCCUGCUAAAGAUGUACUAUGUAAAGUGCAUUUUGUGGAAGGGAAUGUCCAUUCCAUUUAGAUCCCAGCUUCUGCUGUAGGUGCUAUCCGUUUGUGAAUUUAGGAUACCAAAAGAAAAAAAUCUUUAUGAAAGAAGACAAGAAUUCCUAGCCACUUUUUGCACACAGGUUUCAUUUUCCUGAGCAUUCCAAGUUUGAGCCACUGACAGCAAGUGCUUGUGCUCUUAGGCUCAUCAUAAAAUUGAGAUAAAAUGGAAAGAUAGAGAAACAUCAUCAGAAGUAAGUCUCUAAUUUUUAAAAAAUUAACUCAUUUUAACAAAUCCACACAACACAAAAGAAUAAAAGACAAAUGUUUAGUUUCCCCCUCUACUACCCCAUGUGCCUGAAGGUAAUCAUUUUUAUGAAUUUGGUAUAUAUACCUCCAGACUUUUUCUAUGUUCAUACAAAAAAUUUUUUUCUGUCAGAACAUAUUUAUUGAACAGCUACAGUGCACCACACAAUGUAUUUUAGACAUCUAAGUCAGUUCAUAUCUUAAAAAUUGUUUCAUAGUAUUCCAACUUGUGUUUGUACUUCAAUCUGUCUAGACCCAUCCUGAUGAACAUUUAGCUUAUUUUUGUGUAUGGUGAGAAGUAGUGAGAAAUGCCAUACUUAAAAGGGACCAAUAAUGCAGUGGCAGAGAUACUGGCCUAGAAGUCAGACAUCAGCGAUCCAGGCAGGCUUGCUCCUGUGUCACCUUUGUAAUAUUGGACAAAUGAAUUCACUCUCUCUGGCCCAAGAGUCCUCAUUUGACAAUGAGGAUGAAUAAAUAAAUACCUUUUGGGGCUAGUUUCUAGCACUACUGUGAGGAACAAGUGGAAAUCACAGAUGAGAAGGCUUUGAGAAGAAAAAUAAAACCUUUUGCAAAUCUUCUAAGUUAUCAUUAAUACAGAUUUUUAGUUUAUGCGAAUUAAAUCUGAGCCAUCCUGUUACCUGUUGGCAGCUCAGCAG